rnacentral:rRNA from 1 species
GACGUAGGGGGCGAGCGUUGUCCGGAAUUACUGGGCGUAAAGAGCACGUAGGCGGAUGCUUAAGUCAGGUGUGAAAGACCGCAGCUUAACUGCGGGGUUGCACUUGAAACUGGGUAUCUUGAGGGCAGGAGAGGUCAGUAGAAUUCCUGGUGUAGCGGUGAAAUGCGUAGAAAUCAGGAGGAAUACCAGUGGCGAAGGCGGCUGACUGGACUGACCCUGACGCUGAGGUGCGAAAGCGUGGGUAGCAAACAGGAUUAGAUACCCUGGUAGUCCACGCUGUAAACGAUGGAUACUAGGUGUAGGAGGUAUCGACCCCUUCUGUGCCGCAGCUAACGCAAUAAGUAUCCCGCCUGGGGAGUACGGUCGCAAGGCUGAA